CUGAAAUCAGGUAGGGCUACCCGCUGAACUUAAGCAUAUCA
rnacentral:rRNA from 2 species